rnacentral:rRNA from 1 species
GAAGAACGCUGGCGGCGUGCCUAAUACAUGCAAGUCGAGCGAACAGACGAGGAGCUUGCUCCUCUGACGUUAGCGGCGGACGGGUGAGUAGCACGUGGAUAACCUACCUAUAAGACUGGGAUAACUUCGGGAAACCGGAGCUAAUACCGGAUAAUAUAUUGAACCGCAUGGUUCAAUAGUGAAAGACGGUUUUGCUGUCACUUAUAGAUGGAUCCGCGCCGCAUUAGCUAGUUGGUAAGGUAACGGCUUACCAAGGCAACGAUGCGUAGCCGACCUGAGAGGGUGAUCGGCCACACUGGAACUGAGACACGGUCCAGACUCCUACGGGAGGCAGCAGUAGGGAAUCUUCCGCAAUGGGCGAAAGCUUGACGGAGCAACGCCGCGUGAGUGAUGAAGGUCUUCGGAUCGUAAAACUCUGUUAUUAGGGAAGAACAAAUGUGUAAGUAACUAUGCACGUCUUGACGGUACCUAAUCAGAAAGCCACGGCUAACUACGUG